CUUUCUUUCACUUUCAAAGAGUGUAUGGACCCAACUUCCUGAAGCAGAAUGCAGAAGAGAGUAGGAGCCAGGUGCUCUGAGUCCUUAAUGCUAUUGCCAUCCUCUGGUUUGGCCCCUUCUGGCCUCUUUGAUAUUCAGAGGUGACUGUCCAUGUCAAGAAGAGCUUCCAGGCUUCCGCUGGCCACGGCACUUGGACUUCAGUCCAUCAGUGGGAACUCCCUUCCUCUUUACUGCUUUCCGAGCACGCUGCGGGUAGCGCUUGAAGAAGUUGGUGUGUUGCGUAGGAGACGUCCCUGUCGAGGAACUCCGCGGGAAACUAGCGAUCAAACCUGCGGCUGUAGACGCUUUGUGUGAAUGUGACUUCCAGCACGCAGUUUCUGGCGGCGGCGCCACCGGAUGGCGACAUUCUUAGGCACGUGGCUUCAUGGGCGGACACACUACGCAUUACGGAAGCAAGAAGCAGUGGGAAGCAUUUAAAGAUGCAUAUACGUGAAAAGAGAAAAGAUGGAAGAACGG
ensembl:lncRNA